CCUACGGGCGGCAGCAGUGGGGAAUAUUGGACAAUGGGCGAAAGCCUGAUCCAGCCAUGCCGCGUGUGUGAAGAAGGCCUUCGGGUUGUAAAGCACUUUCAGUGGGGAAGAAAGCCUUGGGGCUAAUACCCUCGAGGAAGGACAUCACCCACAGAAGAAGCACCGGCUAACUCCGUGCCAGCAGCCGCGGUAAUACGGAGGGUGCGAGCGUUAAUCGGAAUUACUGGGCGUAAAGCGCGCGUAGGCGGUCUGAUAAGCCGGUUGUGAAAGCCCCGGGCUCAACCUGGGAACGGCAUCCGGAACUGGCAGGCUAGAGUGCAGGAGAGGGAGGUAGAAUUCCCGGUGUAGCGGUGAAAUGCGUAGAGAUCGGGAGGAAUACCAGUGGCGAAGGCGGCCUUCUGGACUGAGACUGACGCUGAGGUGCGAAAGCGUGGGUAGCAAACAGGAUUAGAUACCCCGGUAGUC
rnacentral:rRNA from 1 species